rnacentral:lncRNA from 1 species
GCAAAUAGUGCUUGGAAUGGCUGCUUAAUUAGCUUUGAAUGGCUUUUCCUUCCAGCUCAAACAAUCUGUCACUACCAUGUGGUAUAAAGGAGCCAUGCAUAAAAAAGUAAAAACACACACAAACCCUGAAGAAAAAAAAAAGAAGAAGAAAAAGGAAAGAAAGAAAGAAAAAAAAGGAAGAAAAUCAAAACCCAAACUCCACGGUGUUCCUACUCCUGCGCACGUCUGAAAUAGGCGCCAGCACCCGGCCUGCCACACGGAUGAUGAGCGUGAUGGAUGCGGUUUUGCCGAGCGCCGCCCCCACGGCAGAGCCGAACUGCUUGCAGCAGCGCUCCCCACUGUGUGGAAGGACAGCCCUUGAGCGUUUAAUAGGUACAAAGCGGCCAUGGUUACCCAGUACGUCCUCACUUCACUCCCAAGGCCUGGCUGACGGCCCGUCUUAUAGAGUAGAAGAGGGGCUGAUACACAAACAAAGCUUAGUAAUAGGCCGCGAGCUAGGCAGAGAGAAUUGGAAUCCAGGACAGCCAGAUCCACGGCCAAACUCCUUUGUUUGUGCAAGCCGAAUCUAUAUGAGCAUUUACUGAAAGACAUUCAUUCACUCAUUCACUCAUUCAUUCAUUCUAACCCUCUCUGAAGGUAUGGUUGAGGAGCCUCUGGCUCCCAGUUCACCGUAUCACCUCGGCUUUUUUUUUUCCUUCUUCUUCCUUCUUCUGUAACCAGAACCCAGAGCCUGAAAGGGAAGCAGGGCCCUUGGUAACUUGGUUCAGGUCCCUUAAGCUCAAAACUCACUACUGCUCAGAACCCCACCCCCAUGCCACCUCACAAAUUUUGUAAGAAAUGGAAAUGAGCUUAUUUUAUGCUAGAGAAAGAUGCACACAACACACUGUCCGAAGCGCUUGACAAUUAUUUUAAAGAAGGAGGGGACUGAAGAAAAAGACUUCAAACAGCUCUGUCUCCAGUUCUAAUUGGAAGCGUUUCAACUGUUUAUGUUACAAGAAGUGUCAGGGUCAUUUGCUACCGGAGAGCUGACUUUUCAUUGGCUGCUUAAUUGAGUACCUCGGAGUCCACCCCACGUGGGAGAGGAAUUCCUGGCACAUUAAAAAAAAAAAAAAAGUCACGCGGUGAGCUGGAAAGUCCGGGAUGGAUCUGCAUCAGCGGAAGGCCCCCAGCUCCUCAUUUGGGAUGUAAGAUGACUGUGGGAACUUGAGGUGGGGACAGAGAUGCUUCUCUGGUUCCUUCAAAAUAAAUCCAAAACACG